GUGGCCAGAUGGUUUCUCCUUAAAAUGGCUCCAAGUCUGGGGACAGCUAGAGCCAGCGGAAGGGCACGCCGUGGCAGUGCUGGAGUAGCUGUUCGAGUGGGACUGACUGGGCCAAACCGGACCAGACGUGAAGUAGACCGCGCCUGGAGCACCACCCCGCCCUUGCGCGCUCUGCGCGCGCGUACCGAGAGUCUCCCUCCCCCUGUCUUGAGCUGAGUCUAGGGCCUACUGGCGCAUGAGUCCUUGGCGUCCCGCGGCAUGGGCAUCUCUGCGCACCGGUUCUGUCCUGGCCUCAGAGGAACUUUGUCGCGUUCUCUAUCCGCUGGACUAGACGGGUGGGAUGCUUGACACAAAUGGGGCUUGGCUGUGGGGUUCUUUGCAGGGCCGGUUGCAAUGGGCUUGGGGGGAGGCUGUCCUGCCGCUGCUAUGUGGGCCAGUUUGGCCCCUGGCACUUCAUGAGCUGGCACCGUCACCAGACAAAAGGUCCUAAGCUUUGGGGAGUCCCAGAAGUGGACACAUGGGUUUACUUCCUCUCGGGUCUCACGGAAUCGCUUCCCUCUUGACGGAUUCCGAAGCCUGCCCGGUACAAGUGGCUCCUGCUUGGGACUCACAGGGCUAAUCCAGCCCUUCUGAUCUAAUCCGGAUCAGGACCUCGUCCCGGGGGAUGCCCCCACCUUCUAUUGUUCUGGGGCCCAGGUGCACCCCCAGACUGAUGGUGGCAGUCAGAGGCGACGAAAAAAGCUCGGGCUGAUGGCCCUGUCUGGAAUCCCUGGAGAACUCUGACCAGGGAGGUCCUGGGUCCUCUCUCUGAAGGGCCGCAAUGGCGAUGUCACUCCUCUCCGGAGCAAAGUUCACCGGUUGGAUUCAUUCAUUACUGGGGGAAGUGGAGUUUCACGUUACUUGGAAACGAAAGAGUUUGGACAUAGAAAAGCUCACCUGCAGCUUGCUCUACCUGAGAGCUCUGCUUAUUUGGGUCUUCUCAUCAUCACAUUUGUCUUAAACUGACCAGUUGCCUAAAGAACCAAAGGUGCCGGUAACACCAGUUUAAAGGAAAAACAUUAAAGGCUGGUAAUCCUGGAA
rnacentral:lncRNA from 1 species